CCUCUCUCGAUUUCUGUCCCGAAGGCGCUAUGCUCUUCCAGCUGACACCUUACAGACAUGUCAGGAAGCAAGGAAAGGUUAUUUUUUCACUCAUCGUUUACAUUUGGGUGAUUAACUUAGUCUUGAAAAAAAAAACACGUCAUUUUAAUGACAUUGUGAUAAAUAAAUUUUGGGUCUUUAAAUUGU